AAUCGCAUGUUAUGAAUUUUACAUUGAAAUCCCUAUGAUGCGUUACGCAAGUCACCACCCUGUAUACGUGAACAUUAUGCAAGUCAGUCGUCAGUCACCAUUAACACUUUAAAUAAAAUUCAAGCAAAGUGCAAACGCUACGCGACACCGACUAUUACAAUGCAUCUCAAUUGGAUGGAAUACGAGCGCGAGCCGAACUAAAAUGCGCGUUGUUGAUAUAGGCGUCUUUUAUUUUUGAGUGAGCCGAGUUUCAGAAUAACGCACCUAAGUCAAAAUGGCGGAUGUUCUGUCAAACUGCCCAAAAUGGCGGCCUUUUACGAUGUCAUAUCCUCAAGCAAAUACAGAUCCCUUCAAUGGAGCACAGCCCCAGACAUCAGAAGAAAUAGAGAAGCCACUCCAAAGAUAAAUCGUAACAGCCAUAACCAAAAGCUCUUAUACAGAAACUUCACUGGAUGGAAAAGAAAUACAACUGCGCGCAAUACUAAAUUAAAGAAGAAUGGAUAGAACUAGAAGUACCAUGAAAAACCUGCACGACCUUCGUCGGCGAAACAAAGAACUAUGGUAAUAAAACAUCUAUAACAUUUGGAACAAAUUUACUACUGGAACUAAACUUACAUCUAAAAUAGUGGAUUACGAAGAAAAUACCUAGAAGGCUUAAAAAUUUUAAAUACCUAAACAUUUGAGUAAGAAUUUAAAUAUGAGCACAAAUCAAGAAGUUACAUAAGUGAAAUUUCAAUCGGUCAAAGAAUAACGUUACAGCUUUCUAAAAAACGUAUCAUUGUAUUACGUCAAUGGACGAAAGUGUCGGCGGAACGGACGGAUUUGAUUCGACCUUGGCCCUGGUGAAGGUCGGCGUAGUAGCGGUUUCCGAAACGGUCCUCGGAAGUCGCGAGUAAACGCAUUCAGACUAAACGGCAGCUCCGGGAAUCUGACGAGGUCGGCAAAUGGCGGGUGUUACUUCCGAAGCACUUAAACAAAAUUACAGCGCACGGCUCAUACGGCAAGUUCCCUGGCGGGAAUAAAAGAAACAAACCACAAGUUAAUUAGCGGUGUCUACGGGAAAGCAAAUGCAGAAAAGCGAAACAAUAUCCCGCUUAUACCUAAUGGAACAGAAAGUAGCAAAAAGUCUACCUUGCAAUCAAACGGCGGUAGAAACUACUUAUAAGAAAAAGCAAAAACUGCGACUUAAUGUAGCAGCAAAAAUCAAAUGUUAUGAGUGCCAAAGUUAAUAUACGGAAAAGCUCAAAAUUACGGUACUUACGAACGUAACUUGCCAAAAAACACUAAAGGGAAAAGAUCUCAUCUAAACUUUAGCUUUUAUAAAUUUCGGCCAUGCCAUGGAGGGAACGCCGGUUUUCGCAACCAGUCCAGUGUAUUCGGAUACUAACAAUUAAUUGGGCGGCCCGCUGACGCCUUAAAAAUCUUAAUUAAGAGCGCUUCUUUAGAGACCACUCACGACUUAAUCGGUUGCUGUUUACUGCGACUCUGAACUAGCUACAGUUAAUUUAGGGCCAGUUUCAUAAUCACGCAAAAAUCUCCUUUAACUAAUGACAAAAAUUAAGACGGCUGUUGUGGACGAACCCCUCCAUUUCGAGUGGAAAAUAAUAUUGAGUUAAAAAUUAUAAACAUUAAUGAUACUAAUACAACAUUAAUUAAUCAUUAGUCAACUUUAGUUAAAGGAGACUUUUGCGUGAUUUUGAAACUAGUCCUAACUCUAUUAAAGGCGCGAGAUGAAAUUUCUACAUUCAUACUAAAGCUUCAUUGUCUCUUGAAUUUCUCAGGUCGGCAAAAGGUCUCUUAUUAAACUGAUACUGGCGUAAACCUGCAGCUUUAAUGCUCGUUUUAAAUUAACAUAGGAAACUGAAACCUACUAAUAAUGAUUUAACGGAGCUGAAAUUUUAAAAUAUCAAUUCGCCAUCGACUUCUAAGAGCAACAAGGAUAAUUGAAAUAUCUUAAACGGGGACGCUUGCAAACGGCGAAUGAAUUACAGUUUUUGUUUACAGUAACAGCGGCUGUAUCACAAACUCUAGAAAUUAAAUCAAUUUUACAUUCUAUCUUCAACCCCUAGAACCAAGAUAAAUAUGUUCUGCACGACACUUGUUACAAAGCUCAUCCAGAUACCGGGCGGUCAUGAAAGUAUGUAAAAUUCAAGGUGGAAAAUAGAUGCUUCCUUACAGGUGAUCGCACGAUAUGAAAUUUAUUCUUUUACCCAAAAUCAUCAAUAAACUUUCAUUUUUAUGCCUACUUUAUAUCAGGAAAUGACACCUGUCAUCACUGACAGAUUGAUAUCAAUCAAAGGUUCUAUAUAAAACCUGAAAUUUUAUAUUAAAAUACGAUUUCGGGUAAAAUUUAAUACAAAAAUCGUCAAUAAAAUGACAUUACUUGA